rnacentral:rRNA from 1 species
UACGAAGGGGGCUAGCGUUGCUCGGAAUGACUGGGCGUAAAGGGCGCGUAGGCGGAUGGCACAGUCAGAUGUGAAAUUCCCGGGCUUAACCUGGGGGCUGCAUUUGAUACGUGUGAUCUAGAGUGAGGAAGAGGGUCGUGGAAUUCCCAGUGUAGAGGUGAAAUUCGUAGAUAUUGGGAAGAACACCCGUGGCAAAGGCGGGUCUCUGGGACGGUACUGACGCUGAGACGCGAAAGCGUGGGGAGCGAACAGG